UACGUAGGGGGCAAGCGUUGUCCGGAAUCAUUGGGCGUAAAGAGCGUGUAGGCGGCUCGAUAAGUCUGCUGUGAAAGUCCAGGGCUCAACCCUGGAAGGCCGGUGGAAACUGUCGGGCUAGAGUCCGGAAGAGGCGAGUGGAAUUCCCGGUGUAGCGGUGAAAUGCGCAGAUAUCGGGAGGAACACCAAUGGCGAAGGCAGCACUCUGGGACGGUACUGACGCUGAGACGCGAAAGCGUGGGGAGCGAACAGG
rnacentral:rRNA from 1 species